rnacentral:rRNA from 1 species
UAGCUAGUUGGUGAGGUAACGGCUUACCAAGGCGACGAUCUGUAGCGGGUCUGAGAGGAUGAUCCGCCACACUGGAACUGAGACACGGUCCAGACUCCUACGGGAGGCAGCAGUGGGGAAUUUUGGACAAUGGGGGCAACCCUGAUCCAGCCAUGCCGCGUGAGUGAAGAAGGCCUUCGGGUUGUAAAGCUCUUUCGGCCGGGAAGAAAUCGCAUGGGCCAAUACCCUGUGUGGAUGACGGUACCGGAAUAAGAAGCACCGGCUAACUACGUGCCAGCAGCCGCGGUAAUACGUAGGGUGCGAGCGUUAAUCGAAAUUACUGGGCGUAAAGCGUGCGCAGGCGGUCUUGUAAGACAGGCGUGAAAUCCCCGGGCUCAACCUGGGAACUGCGUUUGUGACUGCAAGGCUAGAGUACGGCAGAGGGGGGUGGAAUUCCACGUGUAGCAGUGAAAUGCGUAGAGAUGUGGAGGAACACCAAUGGCGAAGGCAGCCCCCUGGGUCGACACUGACGCUCAUGCACGAAAGCGUGGGUAGCAAACAGGAUUAGAUACCCUGGUAGUCCACGCCCUAAACUAUGUCAACUAGGUGUUGGGUGGGUAAAACCAUUUAGUACCGUAGCUAACGCGUGAAGUUGACCGCCUGGGGAGUACGGCCGCAAGGUUAAAACUCAAAGGAAUUGACGGGGACCCGCACAAGCGGUGGAUGAUGUGGAUUAAUUCGAUGCAACGCGAAAAACCUUACCUACCCUUGACAUGCCAGGAACUUGCCAGAGAUGGCUUGGUGCCCGAAAGGGAGCCUGGACACAGGUGCUGCAUGGCUGUCGUCAGCUCGUGUCGUGAGAUGUUGGGUUAAGUCCCGCAACGAGCGCAACCCUUGUCGUUAAUUGCCAUCAUUUAGUUGGGCACUUUAGCGAGACUGCCGGCGACAAACCGGAGGAAGGUGGGGAUGACGUCAAGUCCUCAUGGCCCUUAUGGGUAGGGCUUCACACGUCAUACAAUGGUCGGUACAAAGGGUCGCCAAGCCGCGAGGUGGAGCCAAUCCCAGAAAGCCGAUCGUAGUCCGGAUUGCAGGCUGCAACUCGCCUGCAUGAAGUCGGAAUCGCUAGUAAUCGUGGAUCAGCAUGUCACGGUGAAUACGUUCCCGGGUCUUGUACACACCGCCCGUCACACCAUGGGAGCGGGUUCCGCCAGAAGUAGGUAGCCUAACCGCAAGGAGGGCGCUUACCACGGCGGGGUUCGUGACUGGGGUGAAGUCGGAACAAGGUAGCCGUAGGGGAACCUGCGGCUG